GAACUGCUCGGAAUCUCCUCCCAAGUGGAGGAGUGCAAGGACUCUGCAAGUAAAUGAUACAAAUAAGGCAACCAAACACUGCAUAUGACUAACCAUAGCAGCAGCAAGAGAGACCGUGACAAAAGAAUUUACCUAAUGGAUCUCCUGUCUGAACCAUGAAGCCCUUUAUAUUCCGGUGAAACACACAGCCGUUGUAGUAGUUACUAGCACAAAGAGCCAGGAAAUU